CAGCCGCCGCGGUAAAACGGAGGGGGCUAGCGUUGUUCGGAAUUACUGGGCGUAAAGCGCACGUAGGCUGCUUUGUAAGUCAGAGGUGAAAGCCCGGGGCUCAACCCCGGAUGUGCCUUUGAGACUGCAGGGCUAGAACGUCGGAGAGGUGAGUGGAAUUCCGAGUGUAGAGGUGAAAUUCGUAGAUAUUCGGAAGAACACCAGUGGCGAAGGCGGCUCACUGGACGACUGUUGACGCUGAGGUGCGAAAGCGUGGGGAGCAAACAGGAUUAGAUACCCGUGUAGUCCCUGUCUCUUAUAC
rnacentral:rRNA from 1 species